rnacentral:rRNA from 1 species
GCUCAACCGGGGAGGGUCAUUGGAAACUGGGGAACUUGAGUGCAGAAGAGGAGAGUGGAAUUCCACGUGUAGCGGUGAAAUGCGUAGAAAUGUGGAGGAACACCAGUGGCGAAGGCGACUCUCUGGUCUGUAACUGACGCUGAGGCGCGAAAGCGUGGGGAGCGAACAGGAUUAGAUACCCUGGUAGUCCACGCCGUAAACGAUGAGUGCUAAGUGUUAGAGGGUUUCCGCCCUUUAGUGCUGCAGCAAACGCAUUAAGCACUCCGCCUGGGGAGUACGGUCGCAAGACUGAAACUCAAAGGAAUUGACGGGGGCCCGCACAAGCGGUGGAGCAUGUGGUUUAAUUCGAAGCAACGCGAAGAACCUUACCAGGUCUUGACAUCCUCUGACAACCCUAGAGAUAGGGCUUCCCCUUCGGGGGCAGAGUGACAGGUGGUGCAUGGUUGUCGUCAGCUCGUGUCGUGAGAUGUUGGGUUAAGUCCCGCAACGAGCGCAACCCUUGAUCUUAGUUGCCAGCAUUCAGUUGGGCACUCUAAGGUGACUGCCGGUGACAAACCGGAGGAAGGUGGGGAUGACGUCAAAUCAUCAUGCCCCUUAUGACCUGGGCUACACACGUGCUACAAUGGGCAGAACAAAG